GACGAACGCUGGCGGCGUGCCUAAUACAUGCAAGUCGAACGCAGUGGGGACGGGUGAGUAACACGUGGGUCACCUCCCAUCUGAGGGGAUAACACUUGGAAACAGGUGCUAAACCGAUACUGAUGGAUGUACUCGCGGUGAAUUAGCUAGUUGGUGGGGUAACGGCUCACCAAGGCCACGAUGCAUAGCUGGCCUGAGAGGAUGAUCAGCCACACUGGGACUGAGACACGGUCCAGACUCCUACGGGAGGCAGCAGUGGGGAAUCUUGCACAAUGGGCGAAAGGCUGAUGCAGCAAUGCCGCGUGUAUGAAGAAGGCCUUCGGGUUGUAAAGUACUUUUGGCAGAGAAGCGGUACCCGAAGAAGAAGCAACGGCUAACUCCGUGCCAGCAGCCGCGGUAAUAC
rnacentral:rRNA from 1 species